GCCCUUUGCUAUUAUAAACUGGUUACCAACGUAAUUAGACAGUAAAAAUACAUGUUUUGCCAUACCUGUGGUCUACGGUCUGAUAUACCACAGCUGUCAGCCAAUCAGCAUUCAGGGCUCGACCCACCCAGUUUAUAGUAAGGUGUAACUAACUUUGUGUAUACCAAAAUGCUGUUUUCAGUUAGACUAGUCAUUCCACUAGAUGGUACUGCUGCUGUCAUAAAUACAGAGCACAGGAAGAAAGCAUGAUGUGUGUCUGGAAAUACCAUCAGAACUACACAUACAAUCAGAACUACACAGUACAAUCAGAACUACACAGUACAAUCAGAACUACACAGUACAAUCAGAACUAUACAGUACAAUCAGAACUACACAGUACAAUCAGAAAUAUAUCAAAUACACUGAAUGGACAAAACCUGUCUUUCCAGAACGACUGACCAGGUGAAUCCAGGUGAAAGAUAUGAUCCCAUAUUGAUGUCACCUGUUAAAUCCACUUCAAUCAGUGUAGAUAAAGGGGAGGAGACGGGUUAAUAGGAGUGUUAAGCCUUGAGACAAUUGAGACAUGGACGUAUAUGUGUGCCAU
rnacentral:lncRNA from 1 species